GGUUGAGCGUGGAGACUAGUAUUUUGACUGAUACUCGAGCACAGAGUUGACUGGUUUCGGCAAGUUGCGGAGAGGUAGACUAAGAAAACACCAUGGUGGGAGUGGAGUGCAGGUCUGAGCAGGCGAGGGUGUGAUCCCUCUACGAUUGGUCGACAAAGAGACCGACGGCCCGACAGCUCCAGACUGUUAGAUAAGGAAAAUGGCUCGAAAUGUUGCCUUUGACCUGAACAACCCUCUCAUGGAAGCUGGACUGGAGAGCCCAAUAGACGAGGAAGGUGUUCAUGACUCGUUCAGCCAGCUGAUAGCGGAGCAGAGUCAGAAUGGAGGAGCGUCUGACUCUGACACCUUCGAGCUGCAGGAGCUGCAGAGACAACUGGACGAGGAGGAGCGAGACAAUGUUGCCUUCCUGUCAGAUCCUGGACGUGAGUUUCAGGGAAGGAGGCAAAGGGACGCAGAAUGGGAGGACGCUGACACCCAGGCGGACCCCCUCAUAGGGGAACGAUGGUCCUCUGCAACCUUGAAGAUCCUCUCCUCCAUGCCCAGCCGAACGAUCGGUCGCAACAGGGGCGCCAUCAUCUCGCAGUACUACAACCGCACCAUGCAGCUCCGGAGACGCAGACAGAGCCGACCCGCCAUCCGAGACUUCUCCCGCUCUGCCAGACCCAGCAUACGGGGCUACGGCAUCGAGACCGACAGUGCGGACGCAGAGGUGAGUAAGAGGGACCGUUUGGUGAACAACCUGCAGAACCUGUCAGUCAGCGACAGAAUCCGGAUGCUCCGAGCGAUGCCUCUCAAUGUUUCCGAAAAGAGUGAACUCAGGAGCUUAGCUUUACAAAAGGAGAAACGCACGCUUUCUCGUCGCAUUCCCUGCUGCAGUCAACUCAAAUAUUACAUCAUCAAUGGGGCGAGGCAGGGUUGGUACAGCUGGCUCUCCUUCCUGCACUCCCUCCAUCUGUGGCAAGUGCCGCUCAAGAGAGUGAGCGGACGUUUCGGCAGCGGCGUCCUCUCCUACUUCCUGUUCCUAAAGACCCUACUCUUCUUCAACGUCUUCCUGUUCCUGGUGACGGGGGCCUUCAUGGUGCUGCCUCAGGCGUUGCACCCUCCAGAGUCGUUUGUAGGGAGACCCUACUUCACUGGACUGGAGCUCCUCACCGGCGCCGGCUAUUUCUCAGAUACUGUGAUGUACUAUGGCUACUACUGUAACUACACACUGCGUAAGAGCUGCAGGGAUGAUGGGGGGGUGCACAAUGUCUCUCUGUCCAAUGGGACCAUGCCGGACUGUGUGUCCAAGCACCUGUCCUACAACAUGCCGCUGGCAUACUUUUUCACCAUAGGAGUGUCUUCCUUCCUCACCUGCAUCAUUCUUGUGUACAGCAUGUCAAAGUCGUUUGGGCAGAGCUUCCGAAUCGACAAAUCUCACAGCAUCCUGGCAAUAAAGACCUUCUGCUCCUGGGACUUCAAGGUCAUUAAAAAAUCUUCCGUCAAACUCAUGUCUGAGAAUAUCUGCACCCAGUUCAAGGAGCUGCUGGCAGAGGUGAGUCACAAGCAGGUGAAGAACACUCGGUGCCAGAGGCUGUGGAGGCUGAUGGUCCACGGCCUGGCCUGGGCUAUCUGCGUGGCCAGCACCACGGCCUGUGUGCUGGCCAUCUUCUACUGCUCUAGUCACAUGCAUCAGAACCUCCAGUUAUUUCUGAGCAGUCGCGUCCCCGUCACCAACCCGCUGCUGAACGAGGCCAGUCUGCUGGCCCUCCCCGUCCUGGUGUCGCUCAUCAACCUGCUGUUGCCCGGCCUCUUCAACCUGGCUGCCUGGAUGGAGGACUACGAGUCCCCGUCUGUACGCACAUAUGUCUCCAUCGGCAGAAACUUGAUGUUGAAAGUGAGCGUGCUGGGAGUCCUGUGCUAUCACUGGCUGGGUCGGGUGGCUGCUGACCCCAUGACUAUUGGCCUGAAGUGCUGGGAGACUUUUGUCGGCCAGGAGCUUUAUCGUUUCCUGCUCAUGGACUUCAUCUUCACGAUACUGGACACCUUGUUUGGAGAGUUCCUUUGGAGGUUGUUCUCUGAGAAGGUGCUGAAGAGGAGGAGGAAACCGGUGUUUGACAUCGCCAGGAAUGUCCUCGAACUGAUCUACGGACAGACGUUGGCCUGGUUAGGCGUUCUCUUCACUCCUGUCCUGCCUGCAGUGCAGAUCCUCAAACUGUUGCUGCUCUUCUACAUUAAAAUGAGCAGUGUGAUGAUGAACUGUCAGGCUCCCAGGAAGCCGUACAGAGUGAGCCAGAUGACCACCGUCUUCAUCACGCUCCUCUGCUUCCCCUCCUUCCUCGGCGCCUCCGUGUGCGUCACUUACACCAUGUGGAGCAUCCCUGUGUUACAGCUAAGCAGAAGAGGACGCCCAUUAUGUUUACACCCAUCACCCCUUCCUCAUCGUGCGGCCCCUUCCGAGAGCUCAAAACGAUGUUCCAGGCGGGGAAGCGGUGGGUGGAGGAACUGGAAAAAGAUAAUCCCAACCUGUCGGUGCUGGCCCGAGCUCACUCCUACCUGGUGGAAAACCCUUUCUUCCUGUUUGUGGGAGCAGGCAUCUUCCUGAUCGUCAUCUACUUCCACAGUCAGGUGGUGGACGGUCAGAGGAAGAUCAUCGGCCUACUGCAGGAGCAGAUAGAAAAUGAAGGAGAUGAUAAGAAGUUUCUGAUCACUCGCCUCCAGACAAUCCACGAGCAAAAACGAACCCCCACUCGACGACUCGCCAGUCAGAACUCAAACUGUUGAGAGCACAUCCUCCAGCAGACAAGCCUCCUCAAUUCUCUGAGCACUGAGGUCUGCAGAAAUGGAUUGAACUGGAAUAAUAACAGGGACAUUUAAAUGUAUAGUACAUUUAAAAUCUGGCCAGUCAUUUAUGGCUGGAGCUUUUGUAAAGAUGCAAAACAAACCAAGUGGAAAUAUGGGGUGAAACAGAGCUGUGUGCUUUAUGCAGUGUAUGAAUGAUACCCAUACUCCAACGUUAGGAAGUCGUCAGACGCACAGCAAAACCCUGAAGCUGAUGUUAAUCAGUUUACACAGAAUUUAAAUCAUCUCCUUUAAAAGCACUUUCAUAUCAACUGUGAACAAAUCGUUUUUAUUAUUAUAUCUUGUGCAAACUUGGUAUUUUAUUUUUUUUAUGCUUUUAUUUUUUAAAAUGUUUAUCAGUGUGUAUUUUGUACAGUAGGUAGACUUUGGAUGUUGUGGGUGUGAGUAUGAUAAUACCGGAAAUGACUUCUUGUUUUUCCAUUUAAUUUUUCUGCAAAUGCCCUUGUUCUGUCAUUCUGUGGUAAUUAAAUUAUGUUUUAAUCUA